rnacentral:rRNA from 1 species
GAUGAACGCUGGCGGCGUGCCUAAUACAUGCAAGUCGAGCGAACAGAUAAGGAGCUUGCUCCUUUGACGUUAGCGGCGGACGGGUGAGUAACACGUGGGUAACCUACCUAUAAGACUGGGAUAACUUCGGGAAACCGGAGCUAAUACCGGAUAACAUUUGGAACCGCAUGGUUCUAAAGUGAAAGAUGGUUUUGCUAUCACUUAUAGAUGGACCCGCGCCGUAUUAGCUAGUUGGUAAGGUAACGGCUUACCAAGGCAACGAUACGUAGCCGACCUGAGAGGGUGAUCGGCCACACUGGAACUGAGACACGGUCCAGACUCCUACGGGAGGCAGCAGUAGGGAAUCUUCCGCAAUGGGCGAAAGCCUGACGGAGCAACGCCGCGUGAGUGAUGAAGGGUUUCGGCUCGUAAAACUCUGUUAUUAGAGAAGAACAAACGUGUAAGUAACUGUGCACGUCUUGACGGUACCUAAUCAGAAAGCCACGGCUAACUACGUG